rnacentral:tRNA from 1 species
GCCUGGCUGGCUCAAUCGGUAGAGCCUGUGACUCUUGAUCUUGGAGUCGUGAGUUCAAGCCUCAUGUUGGGCA